rnacentral:rRNA from 1 species
AGGAUCAUUAAUGAGUUUGUGAUUGGGUUUGAUGCUGGCAGCCAAAUUUUUUUGGAUGCAUGUGCUCGCCCUAGCAAUCAUAUUCCAAACACCUGUGCACAUUUUNGAGGGAGUCAAGUUGAUUUGCUGUUUGUUGGUGAUCAUCUUGCAUUUCCUCGAAUUACUAUACACUGUUGAUAAUAAUGAACGUGGUUGUGCCGCAAGGCCAUUAAUACAAUAUAUAUAACUUUUAACAACGGAUCUCUUGGCUCUCGCAUCGAUGAAGAACGCAGCGAAAUGCGAUAAGUAAUGUGAAUUGCAGAAUUCAGUGAAUCAUCGAAUCUUUGAACGCACCUUGCGCUCCCUGGUAUUCCGGGGAGCACGCCUGUUCGAGUGUCGUGACAUUUUUCAAGCUUGGAUGGACUUUUCCGUCCUUAGUUUGGUCGUUGGGCUCUGCCGUGACCGUGACAGGUAACGGCUGGUCUUAAAAGCAUUAGCUGGCCCGUGUGUGGCACUGGUUCUACUCAGCGUGAUAACAGUCUGAUCGUUGAGGACAUCUUUUGGGAUGGCCGGUCUGCAUAUCUGGGUUGCUUCUAAUCUGUAUUUGAUUUUUCAGCUUUGACCUCGAAUCAGGUGGGACCACCCGCUGAACUUAAGCAUAUCAAUAAGCGGAGGAAAAGAAACUAACAAGGAUUCCCCUAGUAACGGCGAGUGAAGAGGGAAGAGCUCAAAUUUAAAAUC